rnacentral:rRNA from 1 species
GGGGAAUUUUGGACAAUGGGCGAAAGCCUGAUCCAGCCAUGCCGCGUGAGUGAAGAAGGCCUUCGGGUUGUAAAGCUCUUUCAGUCGGAAAGAAAAAAUCAUGACUAAUACUCAUGAUUCAUGACGGUACCGACAGAAGAAGCACCGGCUAACUACGUGCCAGCAGCCGCGGUAAUACGUAGGGUGCGAGCGUUAAUCGGAAUUACUGGGCGUAAAGGGUGCGCAGGCGGUCUUGCAAGUCGGAUGUGAAAGCCCCGGGCUUAACCUGGGAAUUGCGUUUGAAACUGCAGGGCUAGAGUGCAGCAGAGGGGAGUGGAAUUCCACGUGUAGCAGUGAAAUGCGUAGAGAUGUGGAAGAACACCGAUGGCGAAGGCAGCUCCCUGGGUUGACACUGACGCUCAUGCACGAAAGCGUGGGGAGCAAAC